rnacentral:rRNA from 1 species
GGAAACAGAUGCUAAUACCGGAUAACAACAGAUGAUGCCUAUCAACUGUUUAAAAGAUGGUUCUGCUAUCACUCUUGGAUGGACCUGCGGUGCAUUAGCUAGUUGGUAGGGUAACGGCCUACCAAGGCGAUGAUGCAUAGCCGAGUUGAGAGACUGAUCGGCCACAUUGGGACUGAGACACGGCCCAAACUCCUACGGGAGGCAGCAGUC